rnacentral:rRNA from 1 species
UACGUAGGUGGCAAGCGUUGUCCGGAUUUAUUGGGUUUAAAGGGUGCGUAGGCGGCCCUGUAAGUCAGUGCUGAAAUACCCCGGCUUAACCGGGGGGUGGCAUUGAUACUGCAGGGCUUGAGUACAGAUGAGGUAGGCGGAAUUGACGGUGUAGCGGUGAAAUGCUUAGAUAUCGUCAAGAACACCGAUAGCGAAGGCAGCUUACUGGGCUGUAACUGACGCUGAGGCACGAAAGUGUGGGAUCAAACAGG